UUAUACAGCGAAACUGCGAAUGGCUCAUUAUAUAAGUUAUCGUUUAUUUGAUAAUACUUUACUACUUGGAUAACCGUGGUAAUUCUAGAGCUAAUACAUGCUAAAAAUCCCGACUUCGGAAGGGUUGUAUUUAUUAGAUUAAAAACCAAUGCCCUCUGGGCUCUCUGGUGAAUCAUAAUAACUUGUCGAAUCGACAGGCCUUGUGCCGGCGAUGGCUCAUUCAAAUUUCUUCCCUAUCAACUUUCGAUGUUUGGGUAUUGGCCAAACAUGGUGGCAACGGGUAACGGAGGGUUAGGGCUCGACCCCGGAGAAGGAGCCUGAGAAACGGCUACUACAUCCAAGGAAGGCAGCAGGCGCGCAAAUUACCCAAUCCCGACACGGGGAGGUAGUGACAAUAAAUACUGAUACAGGGCUCUUUUGGGUCUUGUAAUCGGAAUGAGUACAAUUUAAAUCCCUUAACGAGGAACAAUUGGAGGGCAAGUCUGGUGCCAGCAGCCGCGGUAAUUCCAGCUCCAAUAGCGUAUAUUAAAGUUGUUGUGGUUAAAAAGCUCGUAGUUGAACCUUGGGCCUGGCUGGCCGGUCCGCCUCACCGCGUGCACUGGUCCGGCCGGGCCUUUCCCUCUGUGGAACCCCAUGCCCUUCACUGGGUGUGGCGGGGAAACAGGACUUUUACUUUGAAAAAAUUAGAGUGCUCCAGGCAGGCCUAUGCUCGAAUACAUUAGCAUGGAAUAAUAAAAUAGGACGUGCGGUUCUAUUUUGUUGGUUUCUAGGACCGCCGUAAUGAUUAAUAGGGACAGUCGGGGGCAUCAGUAUUCAAUUGUCAGAGGUGAAAUUCUUGGAUUUAUUGAAGACUAACUACUGCGAAAGCAUUUGCCAAGGAUGUUUUCAUUAAUCAGGAACGAAAGUUAGGGGAUCGAAGACGAUCAGAUACCGUCGUAGUCUUAACCAUAAACUAUGCCGACUAGGGAUCGGACGAUGUUAUAUUUUUGACGCGUUCGGCACCUUACGAGAAAUCAAAGUGCUUGGGCU
rnacentral:rRNA from 2 species